ACACAGAUCACUGCACAACCAUCUCUGCAAGUGAAAAGUUGCGACUGUUACGAUUGUCUUUGAGUGUACUCCGUUCACACGUUGACGUUGUUAGUGACUUGAUGUAGAAACAGAUAUUUUUGUGUUGCUUGAAGAGCUGUGUUGUAGGUGUUUUAGCAGAUGCUACAUGAUAAGUACGAAUACCGCCGCCAUAAAGAGUUCCGACGCAGCAAACAUCUCGCAUGUUUGAUUCGGUGUUGCAGUAAGACCACACCCUUGUUUAAUGGAUGCUGGUAUUGCAUUGAUGUUCGUGCGGAGAUGGAAAUCUAAAUAAGAGAGAUUAGUUUGCUACUGAUGUUGAAGGAUGUAGUUCAUGGUUUCCCAAAGCUUUCCCAGUAACAGCUAAUUUAUUAUAGUUACAAUCAGCGUGGUCCUCAAUCCAGUGAGUACUGCUGAAAGAGAGGGAAGCUUAAAUCAGAUGGAUUUGUUUCACACUGAUGCUAAAGGCAGAAGUUCCUUGUUUCCAGAUGAUCGUCCCAAUGAGCUAAAAUAUUAAUACUUGGAACCAUCAAUAAGAUGUCUGUACAUUUUGGUGUUUAUAGAUUAAAAAGAGCAUUUCCUUAUAAAGUUGGUGUACAGUUUACUUCAUGUUUUAGCUUCGUGUUUAUACAGGGUGUGCUGCUAGAACAUGGGCCUUUACAAGUACGACACAACAUGUGGUAAAUGCACGAUGGAGCCCUGCACAUUUCAGUCGAAGUGUUCGUACGCUUCUCAACAACAGAUUCGGUGACCGAUGGAUUGGUAGAGGCGACCAAGUCCAUGACCUCCACGCUCUCCUGAUCUCAACCCUGUUGACUUUCAUUGAUGGGGGCAUUUGAAAGCUCUUGUCUACGCAACCCCAGUACCAAAUGUAGAGACUCUUCGUGCUCGUAUUGUGGACGGCUGUGAUACAAUACGCCAUUCUCCAGGACUGCAUCAGCGCAUCAUGGAUUCCAUGCGACGGAGGGUGGAUGCAUGUAUCCUCGCUAACGGAGGACAUUUUGAACAUUUCCUGUAACAAAGUGUUUGAAGUCACGCUGGUAUGUUCUGUUGCUGUGUUUCCAUUCCAUGAUUAAUGUGAUUUGAAGAGAAGUAAUAAAAUGAGCUCUAACGUGGAAAGUAAA